GACGAACGCUGGCGGCGUGCUUAACACAUGCAAGUCGAGCGGUAAGGCCCUUUCGGGGGUACGACGAGCGGCGAACGGGUGAGUAACACGUGGGUGACCUGCCCUCAGCUCUGGGAUAAGCCUGGGAAACCGGGUCGUAAUACUGGAUAUGACUCCAUGACGCAUGUUGUGGGGUGGAAAGCCUUGUGCGGCUGAGGAUGGGCCCGCGGCCUAUCAGCUUGUUGGUGGGGUGGAUGGCCUACCAAGGCGACGACGGGUAGCCGG
rnacentral:rRNA from 1 species